UGCAGAUGCCUUGUAAUUGAGGCUGAAUCUAUUGCUGAAGUGCAUAUCUAGGCUGCGGUUACUUUGGCUGAAUGGAAGAAGACUUUGGGCCAACGCAGGCGUUGCUGCCACUGCUGCAAAAUAAUUUGGCUGGCAUAUUUUAGUAAUGCAAUUGGGCCGUGGUUUGAAUUUGUGAGCAGCAUAAUUGGUUGAAUUUGGGCAGCUAUUUUGAGCCCUUUGUUUUUGAACGUUGAUGCUGCUCUGGACGCACUUCAACAAUUCCUUAGGCUGACAGAUUUUUAUAGCUUAGGACACUGCAAUGCACAUGGGAUUGGGUCAAAAUUAAAUGAAAUGUAAUGAAUUGGGCCACUGAAUGUUGAGUUGCUACGAGAAUUAGGUUGGCCUCGAGUUGCAUUAUUGGUCGCUGGGAAGCACUGAAUUGGGUUGACUACCCUUUAGUGGAACGAUCCCGUUUGGGAGCUGCUGCUGAAUUGAAGGUGAAUAUGGGCUCCAAUUAGUGAUACUGCUGCAGUGGAACUCCAACUUUAGUGAAACGUGCGUGGGCUAGGGCUCUUGAGUGAAGCAACAGAAGAAGAGCACUCAAGUGAAGAGAGAAGCACGUCUCAUCCUGC
rnacentral:lncRNA from 1 species